UGGGGAAUAUUGCACAAUGGGCGCAAGCCUGAUGCAGCAACGCCGCGUGAAGGAAGACGGUUUUCGGAUUGUAAACUUCUGUUCUUAGUGAAGAAAUUUGACGGUAGCUAAGGAGCAAGCCACGGCUAACUACGUGCCAGCCGCCGCGGUAAUACGUAGGUGGCAAGCGUUGUCCGGAAUUACUGGGUGUAAAGGGAGCGCAGGCGGGAAAGCAAGUCAGCUGUGAAAUCCAUGGGCUCAACCCAUGAACUGCAGUUGAAACUGUUUUUCUUGAGUGAAGUAGAGGUUGGCGGAAUUCCGAGUGUAGCGGUGGAAUGCGUAGAUAUUCGGAGGAACACCGGUGGCGAAGGCGGCCAACUGGGCUUUUACUGACGCUGAGGCUCGAAAGUGUGGGGAGCAAACAGG
rnacentral:rRNA from 1 species